CGUGGUGAGUAGUGCGGAGCAGGGUUGAAAAUGAACGGAUAAGUUCAAGCAGGCGCGCGCUCUUUUUGGGCUUUCAGGAUGAGGAAGAUAAGUAAAUUUAUCUGGCGAUUCGGGCAUGCCUGUGAUCAGAAACAGAAGGGAAGAGAGCUGAAGUUGUGUUCUGUAGGAGGCGAACGGGCUCCGUCUCCUAUGUGGCUCGAUGCCUGUAGCGUCAAGUCCAGGGAAAUGUGAAAAACUGUACCCAGAAGCAUGGGUAGUGUUGGAAGAGGGCACAACCAUGGAAGUACAUCCUUACAAAUAGUGAGAUAACCCAAAGCAUGGCUUUUGUUAUUAAAGCGUAAGCCAUCCAGUUUGUUUGGAAAAGUUGAUAUGAGACCUUACUGCUUGAAGGAGAAAAAACUAGGAAAAAACUAUGCACCAGAACAACUCUGGAUGCUAGCUAAGUGGAUGAUACCCCAAACCACGCUGGAUUAAGAGUCCCUACAGAUUUUGUAGUCUUGGAUUACUACGAAGGAGAAAGUGCCUAAGCAACUGCUUUUGAAGUUCUUCAGCACGAGAGUGGAUCCAUAAAUCGGGGAGUUAUUGUUAACUUUCGUCUCAAGUAUUAUUAAAAAGUUUGCGUAAAAACUGAAGUUGUUUGGUUUUGGUUUGUUACAUGAGGAUAUAAUUUUGAGGAACACGUUCCAGUGGAGGAUGAAUUCUGUAAUAUUAUUCAAACUUGCAUAUUGUUAUAUAUGUCUUUGCAACCUCCCUUGGAUAUUUUAUGUCUCUCCAGUGAAUGUUCAUAGGACUAAUAACAUUAAAAUUGCACAAAGUAAUCACACAGAAUUGGUGUUGGAGGGAUUUUCUUGAUCCUCCUUUAUGGACCAGUCCCACUUUGAAAAACAAAAUCAGCUGGUGGAAAAUCUAGGAUCCAAAACAGGUCGCAGACAGCUUAUCCUGGUUUGCUGAUUCUUCCUACCAGUUGGUGUAAUUUUAAAAGUACUGCCUUUUAACAAUGUCCAGGUAUGUUUGGGAAUGCCUUUCCCUUAUGAGCAUCUUUCUCCACAGUAGUCUUCACUGAUGCUCUGCUGUGGGCAGCAUGAGAACGCUUUUCCAGUGUGGUGGCACAGCCACUAAUAUGCCACUAAACUAUUGGUUAAGCUAAAGGCUCAUGCACAAGUUAUUUCUGCUUUGUCCUCCCAAGUUCCUGUGUAGUAUUAAAGUGCAGAGGAUUUUUCACCAGUUAUUUCUGAAAAGUUGCUCUAGAACCCCUAAGACUAUAGACUAUAGAGUGAAAAUCCCCUCCUUCCUGAUACACCCAUCUAUGAAAAGGACAUUUCCUGCAUCCUGUACUGUAGUCUGCUGAAGAAGGCCAGUGGUGACUAUUCCAUUAAAGAAGUUUGAGUGGUGUGGUAAUGCCACUGGUUUCUGGUACACUGGAAUUUGUAAGUUACUUUUUAAAGUCCUGGUAUGUUUCCUGGAUUUUAAUAUAAAUUAUGUCCUGCAUAGGGGAUCAGUCAAUUCUGAAGAAAAACCAUUUCAAUUUAAAUAUAGUGGUACCUCGACUCACAAAGGCGAUCCGUUUCGUGACACUCUUUUUAAGUCGAAACCGGGUGUCGAAGCGUCCAUUUUGCGCAUGCACGAUUUUGCACUUCUGCACAUGCACAGAGCGCGCGCACGGCAAAAAUACUUCCAAGUUUGCCGACUUCGGAAGUCGAGGUACCACUGUAGCUGCCUAAAUUUGUGAAAUGUUUUUCCUUAAAGAUAAUAUAUAGCUAGUUUGUUCUUGUCACUUUUGUGCUCGUACAUUGAAAUAGCUGCAAGAAAACUUUCUGAAAGAGAAAUAAUCUUGGUGGACAUCCCCCGC